rnacentral:rRNA from 1 species
CCUACGGGAGGUAGCAGUAGGGAAUAUUGCUCAAUGGGCGAAACCCUGAAGCAGCAACGCCGCGUGAAGGAUGAAGGUUUUCGGGUUGUAAACUCCUUUUGUUAGAGAAGAUAAUGACGGUAUCUAACGAAUCAGCACCGGCUCACUCCGUGCCAGCAGCCGCGGUCAUACGGAGGGGGCAAGCGUUACUCGGAUUCACUGGGCGUAAAGGGCGCGUAGGCGGGAUAGCAAGUCAGAUGUGAAAUCCUAUGGCUUAACCAUAGAACUGCAUUUGAAACUGUUAUUCUAGAGUAUGGGAGAGGUAGGUGGAAUUCUUGGUGUAGGGGUAAAAUGCGUAGAGAUCAAGAGGAAUACUCAUUGCGAAGGCGACCUGCUAGAACAUAACUGACGCUGAUGCGCGAAAGCGUGGGGAGCAAACAGGAUUAGAUACCCUGGUAGUC